rnacentral:rRNA from 1 species
UACAGAGACUGCAAGCGUUGUUCGGAUUCAUUGGGCGUAAAGCGUGCGCAGGCGGUUACUUAAGUCAGGUGUGAAAGCCCUGGGCUUAACCUAGGAAUUUCGCUUGAGACUGGGUAGCUUUGAGUGUGGCAGAGGGAGGUGGAAUUCCACGUGUAGCAGUGAAAUGCGUAGAGAUGUGGAGGAACACCGAUGGCGAAGGCAGCCUCCUGGGCCAGCACUGACGCUCAUGCACGAAAGCGUGGGGAGCAAACAGG